UACCACGUUGGUUGUCGUAAAUGCACAUUACAGUAAGGCGGUAUUUGAGAUAUUUUAGAAGUGCCUAGACAAAAUGUGCUCCUUGUCAUGUGCAGUAACCAUCGCAAACCCUCCGGACUCGUGUAACGCCGUUAGUUCGCCGUGUGUUUCGUGCGAUCUAUCAGUGUCGACAGUGAGUGUCUUACUACAGCGCCCGUCCAGCUGCUUUUGUUCUGCCGAGCUGCCUGCUCGCGCUCUCGUGAAAAGUCUGGUACUGGAGCUUCGAAUCGUAGUGUAUGGAAGGCUGUUGAAGGUUGUGCUUUUGUGGAGCUGGAGUUCAUCGGAAGUUCUACAGUGCUUGCGCCAGAAUGACGUCGGUGCCUCGGUACCUUAGAGACGAAGGAGCGUUGGCCAAGUCUUUUUGAAAGGCUAUGCGGAUUCUGGAGGCAUCCCUGCAUCGAGCAGGAACCUGCUGCACUGCUGGAAGCUGGACAGCACGACAAUAAAGCACGUGAUCUGUGCGCUUUCUCAAAGGUAGACAUCGGCGACGGUGUAUAUGUUGAAAAGGGCCUGCUGAAGAGGCUGCGCCUGGAUGCUAACAACUCGGGCUUUCAGUUUGCGGGGGGCCUCCUUAAGGCUCCUUUUACAAAAGAAGAGGUUGAAGGGAGGCGCUACACAUGGAUGCGCAGCGAUUGUUUGUGACAGCGUCACUGCUGGCAGGCCUGGCCUGCCUUUUCGCUUUGUUCUGGGUCUUCCACGUUAUCUACUCGAAAAAGGCCCACAGGAUUUUGACAUUUAUUGAGCACUGCUUUCUGGAUUUUCGCUACACAAAGCCGCAGGUGAAAGCAUUGGAUUUAGUCAAUUUUUACAAGAACUAUUGCUAGGCAAAAAAAUUUUCAGAUGCAUAUCCUCAAGAAAGUUUCUGUCAAAAUUAUUUUGCCUAACAAAAGCACUCGUGGGUUCUGUGGCUGACAGGUUGCCCAAGCCAUGUAGCACAGUGCUUGCUUUAAAGGGACACGAAAAAGAAAAUUUAUUUGAGCUUUAUUAGAUCAUUCUUCUACAACACCGAAAAAACAACUCCCACCAUGAGAAUUGGCUUGAUAAGCCAGAUAACUUGCAAAAACGAAAACUGGUGUCGCCACCACCACCUUAUAGUUCCUGCACCAGCUCGCUGUGAUAUGGAAUUUGACGGUGUCUGUUCGGGUCUAGCUAAUGUUCUACUGGCCAAUAUUGAUGAAUUCUGUUGUAAAGGUGUCAAAGAAUAUACUUAGUUGAAGUAUGACUCCACAUUGAUGUGCGGGCACUGCAUAAAACAUGAAAAAUUAAAGUUAAAUCUUCAUUUUCUCAUCUAAUAAUCCGCUUAUUGCCACAAUGUUCAUGAAUACAGUUCUGAAAGAUUGUUUUAUCAGUAUAAUGAUUUACUGUUUCACUUUAGUAUUUCUGUUAUGGACCUUCAGCAACAAAAUGUGUGUUAGUAUUCCACAGGUAUUCUCAGCGGGGGCAAAAGCACCAGCAGCAUGCUCAAUGAUUCUGUACCAACUGAUAACUUGAAGGAUAUCCUGUGCCACUAGGGUUAGGCCAACGUGGCUCUGUGUUAAUCACCACAAGUGUAUUAUGCAAAACUUAAUGGCCCAGAAAUUGGUAAUUCAGGAGGGAGUUGAAUUAGCUAUUUUUUUUUCUUUAUCAUGGACUUCUCACAUUACACUUUGUCACAAUGCAUUCACUUUAAAGUAACUGUGGAGAAUAAGGUGGUUUGGUAUUGAGACAUGCCUUCUGUGUGUAAACAGUGUUAGAUGAGCAAUACAAAGAUACACCAUAGAUGCUGACUGGCAACAUGAAGGGGUUUGAGGGCAGCUACAAAUAUACAUCCUUGUAGUCGUACCUAUAGCACCAUGUUCAAUUUGUCACACAAGCAUAUGGCAUCCAUCACAACUGCAUGCCUAGAAACGGACAAGGGCAACACACUCAAUUCCCUUUUAGUCUAUCUAAGAAGCACUACAAUUUUUAGGCAACGAAAUUGAAAUCUGGCUUGUACCCAUAAGUACUGCAAUACAGUUGUGCAACAUGUUCCUCUUGUGUGGAAAAAGGGCUGCAUAUGUUUUCUUUGAGCACAAGGGGGAGUGGUAUCAGUUAGAGCCCCUCCAUCCACGUGCCACUGCCGCUUUCUUAAGUAGCGACAACCUUUGUUGUGCGCCGCCUUUUCCCCUCACACCAAAUCCAGUCCCAGCAUUUCCAGUUUAAAAGUUUCCGGUUCCGGCGUUACCGCUUCCUGAAGUUGUGCUGCGGGAAUUUCCGCUUUGACUGCCGAUGGUGAGACGCCCACGCGUGCUUAGCAGAGCUGUGGGAGUCACCAUGAGAAGAAUGCAAAGGCGACAAGCUGUUGUAUUCCGCUGAAGUAGUAAUUCGUGGUCGCUGUUUUCUAAAUGCACGAAAAACGGCAGUGGUCUCCAAGCACCCAGGCACUGCAUUCCACUGUACGUUGUCUCUCGUGGCACAACCCGUCGCAGGUUGACGCGAAACAGCGAACACAAUCAGAUCGCUGAUUGCAAUAGGCGGUGGUUUUUGGAUGGAAUCGCAUUCACAGUUUAAACCGCAGCUGGUGCAAUUAAAGCCUCUCCAUCGACGCGAAAGUAAACAACGUUAAAGGGACCCUGAAACGAUUUUGGCGAUUUUCUACAAACGUACUGAGUCGUUAGAGUAGGUCCUUCUGAUCAUUAAUUGAUGCAUCUAAGUGCUCUGCGUAAAGCGUGUAAUUUAUUAUAAGGUUUUAAAAAUACACAUCGCUGCCGAUCGCAGCGCACUGCUCGGCGGAAUUUUAAGCCGCCCCUACCCAUAUGAUGCAAAUAACCCAUAUUACGUCACAUGGGCGAGCUAUCUGAUUGGCUGACCAGGGCGCGUGGUCGAUAAUUUUUCCAACUUUAUGGUGAACAAAUGAUGCUCGUAAUAGUUGGAAUGUUAGUUACUUUGUUUUUGUAAAAAGAAAAUAACUUAAAGAGAAUACACAAGAAUAGUUUUUUAGUACACUUCAGCACUUCCGGCACACAGCAAGUGUCGUCUGCUUGUGUUACAACGUACUCCAUUUUGACGAGAACUCCGCGGUCAGAGUCGGUCUCAAUCUUUUUGCGAGCACUAUGAUUCGACUUUGUUGCCUUGUGGACUGCAAACCUAGCGACCUGCAAACCGCGAGUCCAGUAUUAGGGCAAACGCAAGCGCAACGGGACAGGGUCUGGCCGCUUGACUGUGCCGGGAUGAGCCACGAGAGAAGGGCAAAUGUGAACGGUCUGCACGGUGCAGCCACCUGGUGGCACAGAGUUCAACCAUACACAGUAGCAGCAACGAAGUGUAUUCUUUGCUGCUGGUGUGUAUUUUUCGCAGGAGUGUAAUCAUCAACACGUUGAUUUAUAAAAGUUUAAAAUGCUUUACACUUGGUUAGAGCAAUAUUAGCGCUUUGUUUGACUGGUUAAGCGCUGCGCCAGCAAGUGUCUGGACCGUGCAGACCGAUCAGGCUGCUCACGUACGUCUACGCUAAAGUUCCUUCAUCAGCUUGCGUUUAUGCCUCCAGUCAUUUGCCGAAAUGACCAGCUUGCCUGUUUUUAGCGGAGUACCGGACACGUUCGGCGCUAAGACAGAAUGCUCGCAACGCACGCUGC